AUUGAACGCUGGCGGCAGGCCUAACACAUGCAAGUCGAGCGAGCGGCGGACGGGUGCGUCAUGUCUGGGAAACUGCCUGAUGGAGGGGGAUACCUACUGGAAACGGUAGCUAAUACCGCAUACCAUCAGAUGUGCCCCGAUGGUAUUAGCUGGUAGGUGGGGUAACGGCUCACAUAGGCGACGAUCCCUAGCUGGGCUGAGAGGAUGACCAGCCACACGGGAACUGAGACACGGUCCAGACUCUUACGGGAGGCAGCAGUGGGGAAUAUUGCACAAUGGGCGCAAGCCUGAUGCAGCCAUGCCGCGUGUGUGAAGAAGGCCUUCGGGUUGUAAAGCACUUUCAGCGGGGAGGCGUUACCCGCAGAAGAAGCACCGGCGAACGCCGUGCCAGCAGCCGCGGUAAUAC
rnacentral:rRNA from 1 species